CCCACGACAGCUCUAUGCGAUGGCAGUAAUUGGAAUACACCUGGACCGCCACCCCCUCCAAGAAGUGAUAGUUGGUGAAACAAUUGGAUAUUUGGAGUCAGCACAAAAAUCUUGUUAUUCGUUUUAAUUACAAAUAGAAACCAUCAUGACUACAGAAACAAGAAGUUGACAUUGUGCGUGAAAUAAAUAUUAAAAU